rnacentral:lncRNA from 1 species
GUCCUGUUAGUCCUGUUAGUCCUGUUAGGCCGUCCUGUUAGUCCUGUUAGGCCGUCCUGUUAGGCCGUCCUGUUAGUCCUGUUAGUCCUGUUAGGCCGUCCUGUUAGUCCUGUUAGGCCGUCCUGUUAGUCCUGUUAGGCCGUCCUGUUAGUCCUGUUAGUCCUGUUAGGCCGUCCUGUUAGGCCGUCCUGUUAGUCCUGUUAGGCCGUCCUGUUAGUCCGUCCUGUUAGGCCGUCCUGUUAGUCCUGUUAGGCCGUCCUGUUAGUCCUGUUAGGCCGUCCUGUUAGUCCUGUUAGUCCUGUUAGGCUGUCCUGUUAGUCCUGUUAGGCCGUCCUGUUAGUCCUGUUAGUCCUGUUAGGCCGUCCUGGAAGGCCGUCCUGUUAGUCCUGUUAGGCCGUCCUGUUAGUCCUGUUAGUCCUGUUAG